GCUCAGGACGAACGCUGGCGGCAUGCCUAAUACAUGCAAGUCGAGCGAACAGAUGAAGUGCUUGCACUUCUGACGUAGCGGCGAACGGGUGAGUAACACGUAAGGAAUCUACCUAUAAGCGGGGGAUAACAUUCGGAAACGGGUGCUAAUACCGCAUAAUAUCUUCUUCCGCAUGGAAGAAGAUUGAAAGACGGCUCUGCUGUCACUUAUAGAUGACCUUGCGGUGCAUUAGUUAGUUGGUGGGGUAACGGCCUACCAAGACGAUGAUGCAUAGCCGACCUGAGAGGGUGAUCGGCCACAUUGGGACUGAGACACGGCCCAAACUCCUACGGGAGGCAGCAGUAGGGAAUCUUCCGCAAUGGGCGAAAGCCUGACGGAGCAAUGCCGCGUGAGUGAAGAAGGCCUUCGGGUCGUAAAACUCUGUUAUAAGAGAAGAACAAAUUGUAGAGUAACUGCUACAGUCUUGACGGUAUCUUAUCAGAAAGCCACGGCUAACUACGUGCCAGCAGCCGCGGUAAUACGUAGGUGGCAAGCGUUGUCCGGAUUUAUUGGGCGUAAAGGGAGCGCAGGUGGUUUCUUAAGUCUGAUGUGAAAGCCCACGGCUUAACCGUGGAGGGUCAUUGGAAACUGGGAAACUUGAGUACAGAAGAGGAAUGUGGAACUCCAUGUGUAGCGGUGGAAUGCGUAGAUAUAUGGAAGAACACCAGUGGCGAAGGCGACAUUCUGGUCUGUUACUGACACUGAGGCUCGAAAGCGUGGGGAGCAAACAGGAUUAGAUACCCUGGUAGUCCACGCCGUAAACGAUGAGUGCUAGGUGUUGGAGGGUUUCCGCCCUUCAGUGCCGCAGUUAACGCAUUAAGCACUCCGCCUGGGAGACGCGAGUUUGAG
rnacentral:rRNA from 2 species